rnacentral:lncRNA from 1 species
GCUGGGAUUCUCGCCAAAUUCCGGCGACCACCGCCGAUGAAUACCACCGAGAACAAUUACUGAAACAGAAUAUACCGAAAUGGAUAUUCUUUUUUGCUGAUUGAUGGAGGCAAUGUAAUGAUUUAUUCGAUUUUUCUGUGCUUUUUUUUUCAGUUUUUGAUCAAGCUUAUAAAAACCGAGCAUCAAAAUAUUCCAACAUUUUACGAUUUCGAGUACAGAGACAUGAAAACUAGU